GCGCNUACCUGCAGUCGAGCGAAUAACAUAAUAUAUUAUUACAAAUAAUGUAUAUUUUGAUGAUAAGCGGCGAACGGGGGAGUAAUAUUUGGGAAUCUGCCUUAUGAUGGGGGAUAGCUAUUAGAACUGAUAGAUAAUACCGCGAUACAUGUUUUUAUUAUUAACUUAACAUUAGUUAACAGUAUGGGACUUUUCUGUUAUAAGAAAAACCUUAUGUCCUUAGAUGAGCCCAAAUGAGAUUAGCUAGUACGUGAGGUAAAUGCUACACCUAGGCUAUGAUCUCUAGCUGGUCUUACAGGACGAUCAGCCACAUUGGAACUGAGACACGGUGCCAAACUCCUCAGGGAGGCACCUGCCGGGGAAUAUUGCACAAUGGGGGAAACCCUGAUGCAUCUAUGCCGCGUGUGUGAUGAAGGCUUUUUUUACCUGUAAAACACUUUCGUCCCGGGAAGAAGUUAAUAUAACUAACAAUUAUAUUAAUUGACAUUACCUGAAAAAGAAGUACCGGCUAAUUCCGUGCCAGCAGCCGCGGUAAUACGGAAGGUGCUANCGUUNAUCGGAAUUACUGNCCGUANNGANCACGUAANUGGUUNNUUAANUCAAAUGUGAAAUCUAUNAGCUUAACUUAUAAACCUGCAUUUGAAACUAAUAAACUAGAGUUUUUUAUAGAGGGGAGUAGAAUUUCAGGUGUAGCGNUGAAAUGCGUANAUNUCUNAAAGAAUACCAGAGGCGAAGGCGACUCCCUGGGUAUUAACUGACACUGANGUACGAAAGCUUGGGGAGCAAACAGGAUUAGAUACCCUGGUAGUCCAUGCUGUANACGAUGUCAAUUUGAAAAUUGUAAUUUUUUUUUUAUUAUUAUGAUUUUCGUAGCUAACGCGUUAAAUUGACCGCCUGAGAAGUACGGUCGCAAGACUAAAACUCAAAUGAAUUGACGGGGGCCCGCACAAGCGGUGGAGCAUGUGGUUUAAUUCGAUGCAACGCGAAAAACCUUACCUACUCUUGACAUUUAAAGUAACAAAAUAGAAAUAUUUUGGUGUCCUUAAAAAGAAUCUUUAAACAGGUGCUGCAUGGCUGUCGUCAGCUCGUGUUGUGAAAUGUUGGGUUAAGUCCCUUAACGAGCGCAACCCUUAUUCUUUGUUGCCAGCGUAAAGUCGGGAACUCAAAGAAAACUGCCAGUGAUAUAAAGCUGGAGGAAGGUGAGGAUGACGUCAAGUCAUCAUGGCCUUUAUGAGUAGGGCUACACACGUGCUACAAUGGUGUAUACAAAGAGAAGCAACUUCGCGAGAAUAAGCAAAUCUCAAAAAGUACAUCACAGUCCGGAUUAGAGUCUGAAACUCGACUCUAUGAAGUAGGAAUCGCUAGUAAUCGUAGAUCAGAAUGCUACGGUGAAUAUGUUCUCGGGCCUUGUACACAGCGCCCGUCAAGGGC
rnacentral:rRNA from 1 species